rnacentral:rRNA from 2 species
GGACUACUGGGGUAUCUAAUCCCGUUUGCUCCCCUGGCUUUCGCGCCUCAGCGUCAGGAAAGGUCCAGUGCGUCGCUUUCGCCACCGGCGUUCCUCGGGAUAUCUACGCAUUUCACCGCUCCACCCUGAGUUCCACGCACCCCUACCUCCCUCCAGGCGGCCAGUAUCGGGAGCUGUUUUCCAGUUAGGCUGAAAGAUUUCACCCCCGACUUGGUCGUCCGCCUACGCGCCCUUUAAGCCCAGUGAAUCCGAACAACGUUCGCACGGUUCGUCUUACCGCGGCUGCUGGCAC